GUCUUUCUGGGUAAGUCUCUAAGAGUGAUUACAGCUGUGAGUCUUUCUGGGUAAGUCUCUAAGAGUGAUUACAGCUGUGAGUCUUUCUGGGUAAGUCUCUAAGAGUGAUUACAGCUGUGAGUCUUUCUGGGUAAGUCUCUAAGAGCUUUGCACACCUGGAUUGUACAAUAUUUGCCCAUUAUUCUUUAAACAAUUCUUCAAGCUCUGUCAAGUUGAUUGUUGAUCAUUAUUAGAUAACCAUAUUCAAGUCUUUCCAUAGAUCUUCAAGCCGAUUUAAGUCAAAACUGUAACUAGACCACUCAGGAAUAUUCAAUAUCUUCUUGGUAAGUAACUAAAGUGUAGAUUUGGCCUUGUUUUAGGUUAUUGUCCUUCUGAAAGGCGAAUUCAUCUCCUCAUUGUCUAUUGGAACACAGACUGAACCAGACUUUCCUCUAGGAUUUUGGCUGUGCUUAUAGCUGUCUACCGUUUAUUUUUAUCCUAAUAACUCCCUAGUCCUUGCCAAUGACAAGCAUACCCAUAACAUGAUGCAGCCACCGCCAUGCUUGAAAAUAUGAAGUGGUACUGAGUGAUGUGUUGUGUUGGAUUUGCCCCAAACAAAACGCUUUAUUCAGGACAAAAAGUUAAUUUCUUUGCCGAAAUGUUUUCAGUAUUACUUAAGUGCCUUGUUGCAAACAGGAUGCAUGUUUUGGAGUAUUUUUAUUCUGUACAGGCUUUUUUAAAUCUGUCAUUUAGGUUAGUAUUAUGGAGUAACUAUGGAGUAACUACAAUGUUUAUCCAUCCUCAGUUGUUUUCUCCUAUCACAGUCAUUACACUCUGUAACUGUUUUAAGGUCACCAUUGGCUUCAUGGUGAAAAUCCUGAGCGGUUUCCUUCCUCUCCGGCAACUGAGUUAGGAAGGACGUCUGUAUCUUUGUAGCGACUGGGUGUAUUGAUACACCAUCCAAAGCCUAAUUAUAACUUCACCUUGCUCAAAGGGAUAUUACACAUUUUACCCAUCUACCAACCGGUGCCCUUCUUUGCGAGGCAUUGAAAAAUCUCCUUGGUCUUUGUGGUUGAAUAUGUGUUUGAAAUUCACUGCUCGAUUGAGGGACCUUACAAUUAUCUGUAUGUGUUGGGGUACAGAGAUGAGGUAGUCAUUUAAAAAUCAUGUUAACCAAUAUUAUUGAACACGGAAUGAGUCCAUGCAACUUAUUAUGAGAUUUGUUAAGCACACUUUUACUCCUGAACUUAUUUAGGCUUACCAUAAAGGGGUUGAAUACUUAUUGACUCAAGACAUUUCAGCUUAAAAUGUUUUAUUAAUAAAUAAAAAAUUAGACUAACAAAAUUCCACUUUGACAUUAUGGGGUAUUGCGUGUAGAUCAGGUAUUGUGUAUUACAUUGUAAUUCAGACUGUAAACCAUUUAAAAUUCAGACUGUAAACCAUUUUAAAAUCAGACUGUAAACCAUUUUAAAAUCAGACUGUACACCAUUUUAAAAUCAGACUGUACACCAUUUUAAAAUCAGACUGUAAACCAUUUUAAAUUCAGACUGUAAACCAUUUUAAAAUCAGACUGUAAACCAUUUUAAAUUCAGUCUGUAAACCAUUUUAAAUUCAGGCUGUAACAACACAAUGUGGGAGAAGUUAAAAAGGUGUGAAUCCUUUCUGAAGGCCACUGUACAUACAACCGUUGCUAUGGGACCAAGAACAUUGCUACAGUACUGUGUUGUUUAUAGCACACUUAUUUAUACUGUAUCACACUGUAGAUAUAUGCCACUCAGAAAGCAUGCAGGACAUUAUUAAGGUCAUUACGGUAAGAUUAUAAAUUAACCAUAUGAAAUAAAGAUGAGAGGAAUAUUAAAACAGGGAUUUUACCACUGAGGAAGUCACGUGGUCUGUAUGACUAAUUUGGACUAGAUAUAUACCUUAUUCAUCACUGACUCCAUCCAAUCUACGUCCCACAUAAAGUAUUCUAUUGUGGACCCUUCAAUUUCUACCCUACUCAGUGAUAUUCUGAUAUAACAAUGUAAUAUUUAAGUCCGGAACAGACUAUCCUAAGGCUUUGUGAACUUUUGAGCGCUGUGCUUUAAUAUGCAAAAAACAGGUUACUAUACAAUACAUUGUCCUGACUGACACUGCUGUAUCCAUCACUGAUAUCCAUUCACAUCUUAAUAACUGCCAAAUACAUUACACUACAUUUUGUUUGGUCUGGAAAUGACUUUUGUAAAACUGUGUUGUCUGUCACCUUAAAAAAAAAAAAGACUUGAAAAGUGAUUAAAGAUCCAGGGUGAAUGUCGGAUGUGUUGUUGUGGUUAUAGUGAGCUGUUUGUCAAAUGGCAUCCUACUCGUCAUACUGUCUAGUGCACUACUUUUGACCAGGGCCCAUGAGCUCAGGGUCCAUAGGGUUAGGGCCCAUAGAGGUCAGGGCCCAUAGAGGUCAGGGCCCAUAGGGUUAGGGCCCAUAGAGGUCAGGGCCCAUAGGGUUAGGGCCCAUAGAAGUCAGGGCCCAUAGAGGUCAGGGCCCAUAGAGGUCAGGGCCCAUAGAGGUUAGGGCCCAUAGAGGGCAGGGCCCAUAGGGUUAGGGCCCAUAGAGGUCAGGGCCCAUAGGGUUAGGGCCCAUAGAGGUCAGGGCCCAUAGAGGUCAGGGCCCAUAGGGUUAGGGCCCAUAGAGGUCAGGGCCCAUAGAGGUCAGAGCCCAUAGAGGUCAGGGCCCAUAGGGUUAGGGCCCAUAGGGUUAGGGCCCAUAGAGGUCAGGGCCCAUAGGGUUAGGGCCCAUAGGGUUAGGGCCCAUAGAGGUCAGGGCCCAUAGGGUUAGGGCCCAUAGAGGUCAGGGCCCAUAGGGUUAGGGCCCAUAGAGCUCAGGGCCCAUAGGGUUAGGGCCCAUAGGGUUCAGGUCAAAAGUAGUGCACUACAUGGGGAAUAAGUAGGGUGCCACCUGGGGGACACAAUUCAUGUUGAAGUAGAUGGUUUCCUUCAGAGCUCUGGUCCUGUAUCUCUCCUUAGCCCGAAAAGCAACUCUGUUUUCUAUUGAAGUUUGUAAAAUAAGCGCUUUGAAAUAAAAUAACAAAUGAUAUCUCAUACUCUAGCCUGCUCUGGAAAUGUUUAAAAAUGCAAUUAUCGAUGAAUGAAAGCUUGCAUUACAUUACCCCAUUGAUUAAAGAUUAUAUUACUGAGAAUAGAUUUUUUCAUGUCAAUUGACUUCUUAACUUCGCAUGUUUCCCAAAUGGCACCCUAUUCUCUACAUAGGGCACUACUUUUGACUAGAGCACUAUGGCCCCUGGUUAAAAGUAGUGCACUUUGGGAAUAGGGUGCCAUUUGGGUUGCUGCCCAUUAAAUAAGCCUUGUGUUUUGAUUGUGUAACUGAAGGUCAGGGCUGUAGUUGAUCCCUGGACUAGUGGGUCUCAUCUUUACAAGCAUUUUGCUACACUCGCAAUAAUCAUUUGC
ensembl:lncRNA